rnacentral:rRNA from 1 species
CAUAUCAAAAAGCGGAGGAAAAGAAACCAACAGGGAUUGCCUCAGUAGCGGCGAGUGAAGCGGCAAAAGCUCAAAUUUGAAAUCUGGCGUCUUUGGCGUCCGAGUUGUAAUUUGAAGAAGGUAUCUUUGGGCCCGGCUCUUGUCUAUGUUCCUUGGAACAGGACGUCACAGAGGGUGAGAAUCCCGUGCGAUGAGAUGACCCGGGUCUGUGUAAAGUUCCUUCGACGAGUCGAGUUGUUUGGGAAUGCAGCUCUAAGUGGGUGGUAAAUUCCAUCUAAAGCUAAAUAUUGGCGAGAGACCGAUAGCGAACAAGUACAGUGAUGGAAAGAUGAAAAGAACUUUGAAAAGAGAGUGAAAAAGUACGUGAAAUUGUUGAAAGGGAAGGGCUUGAGAUCAGACUUGGUAUUUUGCAUGCUGCUCUCUCGGGGGCGGCCGCUGCGGUUUACCGGGCCAGCAUCGGUUUGGAGCGGCAGGAUAAUGGCGGAGGAAUGUGGCACGGCUUCUGCUGUGUGUUAUAGCCUCUGACGAUACUGCCAGCCUAGACCGAGGACUGCGGUUUUUACCUAGGAUGUUGGCAUAAUGAUCUUAAGUCGCCCGUCUUGAAACACGGACC